GGGUACAGGCUGUAUUCUCACAUCCGGUAAUACAUAUAUAAACUUGUAGAAUAAUGUGAGAACCCAUCCCAUUUAAGCGAUGGGUCAGACGUUUACAGUAAACAAUCACAGAAGUUUCUGUUGUUGAUGACACGUCCCAGCCGUAAGGACACACAUAUUUUAUUCUAUUCCAACCAAUGGGAAUUUAGCCAUAAAUUUUAGUGGGGGGCGUCCUUGGGUUGAUCCUUGCUUCAAUGACAGAAACUGUACGAAAUGUUAUUUUAGUUCAGCAUCAGUUUUCAUUUAUCGGUGAAAAUGGAGAAAUGGAUAAUUCGCAGUAAGAAACCCAAGUUAAGUGAAAGUGGCAGUAAUGAACCGUGUGCAACUGUAAGUAAAAGUGAAACAAUUGUAAGUUCCAUCCACUGCAACGAAGACGAAACCACCGUAUGUGUGAAUACAGCUGCAAUAGAUAACAGCGUGACUCAAAAUCAGGUGCAUGAAAAUGACGUUAAUUAUUUCCCUAAUUACUGGACACAAGAUCAAUGGCUAAAAAAAUUGAAAAUAUACGAGUGGUUGACAAUUAGUAAACAAGGGCUAGGCUGUACAACAUGUAAAUCAGUGGGAACUCUAGGGCCUGCAAAAACACAAGGUUUGAAAUUAUCUAGUGAGUGGUGUGAAGGUAGGGUCAAGGAAUAUGGUGAAACAAAAGAGAAGAAACAACAGUCGAUUAGGAAGAAACUGUCUUGUCAUAAACUAUCGGCAGCUCAUGUUAAAGCUAGUGACAUUUUAUGCCUUGCUAAAAAAGAAACAAUUGAAUGUCUGAAUGUUAAAACACAAGAAAAACAAUACGUUACAACUUGUCGCAUAUUUAGGACAGCUUAUCAAAUAGCGAAAGUGAACCGUCCCAUGACAGAUUUAGCAGCUUUGAUUGAUUUACAAGAACUAAAUGGUUUAGCUAUGGGGCGUAUCUUGCAGUCUAAUCAUGCGUGCACUGAUAUUUGUGAUCAUAUAGCAGAUGAAAUGAGAAAGAAACUUGUUAAAUAUAUUAUUGAUAAUGAUCUUAAGAUAGGUUUCAUGAUCGAUGAGACUUCUACUCGAAGUAAAAAAGAAGCUCUUGUAAUCUGUUUACGUUGCAAACUGCCUGAUUCCAUGGAUGCGAGUAGUUAUUUUUUUGAUAUAGUGGAAUUAGAAAAUACUACAGCUGCAACGAUCAGGGACGCCUUUCUCAACAAUAUUAAGAGUAAUGGAUUUCACAGUGACUUUCUAUCAUGAAAUUGGAUUUCAUUUGCUUGUGGUGGGGCCUCUAAUUUACUUGGAAGGCAUGCAGGUGUUGCACAACUUUUGCUCCAAAUGUAUCCUCAAUUGAUUGUUUGGCAUUGUAGUAAUCAUCGAUUAGAAAUAGCGGUGAAUGAUACAGUACAGGAAAUGUCAACAGUGUGCCACAUGCAAUCAUUUUUUGAUAAACUCUAUUCCGUUUACAGCGUGUCUCCAAAGAACAAAUCUGAAUUAGAAACUGUUGCUGCACAACUGAGUAUGAGAUUAAAUACCAUAGGACGAGUGUUAGGAACGACACGUUGGGUAUUGUCUAGUGCGCGGUAUGUGAGAGCCAUAUGGAAUAAUUACCCUGCUCUUUAUAAGCAUUUUCACAAUAAGUCUGUAGACCCAAAACACACGGGAAGGGAGAGAGCUCAAUAUUCUGGAUUGAAAAGAAAACUAAGCGACGUAAACUUUGUUCUAAAUAUGGGACUUCUGUUCGAUGCUUUAACAGAACUUGAACACCUGUCUUUAAAAUUACAAGAAAAGAAAAUCACAUUGCCUGAAGCACAUCAUUUAGUUCUUGUUAAGUAUCACGUCUUUCAGUCCAUGGCAAAUAAUCCAGGUGAAUAUUAUUCUGAAGUUCUAACGGCUGCUGAUAAAUUAGAAUUUAAAGGAGUUAGCUUAGAACAUGGAAAAGUGCAGAAGAUUAGUGAACAACAAUUCUUUCAGAAAUUAAGUGACAAUAUAAAUACCCAAAUGUUCACCACUAGAGCUUCACACGAAUCGACUGGAAGUAGUAACACAUGGUCAAAUAGGGGCAAAUACAGUCAGUUACUGGACAACUUGAAAAUAAUGGAUAAGGCUAAGUGGGUAAAAUGUCAAGAUCCAUGUUUUGCUGAUAAAGAGAUUAGGGAACUCGCUGAGUCAUUUAUGGUGUGUAAGAAAACUUCAGUUCAUGGAUUCCAUGAAUAUUACAUGAAUAUAAUGAAUGGUGACGACAUGUAUCCUGAUGAACUAAAGCCGUUGAUUGCAGCUGCAAAUACUAUUAUUAUUUCAACUGCAGAGUGUGAGCGUGCAUUCAGCAACAUGAACAACAUUAUUUCAACCAUCCGAAGCGCGAUGCUUUUAAAAACAGCAUCUAGUUUAAUGUUUAUUUCAUCAGUGGGACCCCCUCUUAGUGCUUUCAAUGCAGAAUAUUAUGUAAAACAAUGGCUAAAGAAAGGAUGUCGACAUGCAGAUUACCAGUCUUAUGCAGCCCCCGCAGAUAGAAGAUCAGUGACUUCAGAAAGCAAUGAAAACAUCUGGAAAUUAUUCUAAAGAUAAGCAGAUAAGCACUCGUAAUGCAUGUGUGACUUUUAUUUUAACCCAUGCCAUUUAAACUACUGUAAUAUGUUCGUAGGUCUUAGAUGGAACACAGACUAUAUACAUCACUCGGUAUAAUUUCAUAAUUUAUGUCUAUGAAUUAAAAGGGGAAAACCAUCCCGGUUCUAUUUUCAUUCCACCUUAAGCACUGUGUAAAUGUGUUAUAACCUGCAACUCUCCGUGAAUAUAUUAUCACGAGUGGUAUGGACUGUAUUCAUCUCUGAGGACAGGCACUAGUGGCAGGCUUGUGUGAAAAUGGUGGGAAAUUCUUGAAUAGCAGAGUGAUUGUUAGCUUAUCCAGAAGGGCUCGUUUCUGUGGUGUUCAUUAGUAAUGGUAUCCACAUGGCUUCUUGUGGAAUAACAAAGAUAUAAGUGAGAUCCAGUUUGUGUUUCUUGGUACAAGCCCUUCUUGGAAUAAGAAAUGCCUGUAAAUGUUUGGAAAUAAAAAAGGUAGAAUGUAAUGGAAAUUUGAUUGAACAUUGACAGUGACUCAUGUUCAUAACAAUUAAACUUCUCCAUCUGUUAUUACUUGAUGAACAUCCUAUGUGGGCAAUCUUAUAAAAGAUAAGUCUUGUAUGAGAUCACUCAGUAUGAUGCUCCUAGGGACCACCAUUCAUUAGUUUCAGAGUUCAGUAAGAACCUUAACAAACCCAUAACAUGUUUAUAUCUAAAAAAAAAAACAUAUGCUGCAUACAGUGAAGAAACUCCUGUGAAAGUGCAGCUAUAAUGAUAUAAUAUGGAAGAGAGAAGAGCAUGCUCAUUAUGUUAGUUCAUGCUUCUUAAUGUAACACACUUUUUUCUCCUGUUUUGGCUGCAACAUGAAAUCUAAUAUGGAGAGUUUACUGGUUGACAGAGUAUUUCUUAUUAGAGAUAAGAGGGAGAGAUGUCAAAUUUUAUAACCACAUUUCAUUACAGAUCAGUAGAGCAGAACAUGUUUCCUUAUAUUAAUAUACAACGAUGUGAUAAUGAUUGUUGGGUAGAGUGUCAUGAGUCAGGUUUGUAUAUCCCUCUGAUGAGUCUACUCCGCUUAAGAGAUAUAAGGAAUAGCACGCUGCUAAACGAGGGCAUUCAUUUUUUCUGUGUCUGAGAAAUUUCUGCCUCUGAUAAGUUCUUAUGCAGUUCACUUUAGAGCGUUGUGUUAUAUAAAGCAACCGAAUCUGCAUGUGAUGUCUAAUAUGAGAUUGUAAUGUUGGAGAGAUGAAGUGCAUGAAUUUAUGUUCUGUGUGUCUGUUUUUCUCAUUAGUAUGAUAGAAUGUAUGAAUCAGUCACUUGUUCAGUAGGAUUCAGUUGUAUUGUUUCUCCUUCACUUGUUGUUCAGUACAGCAUUGUGUAUAUGCACAAAUUUUACGUUCUCCACCCAUUCACUGUCUUCCAUCAUGGUGAGCUGUUCCUGGCGUGCAAGGUGGAGAAUGGACCAAGGCCGAUGGAGGAGGUAGUAAAGGCACAACACAGAUGCCUCAAACCAGGCCAGCUUUUGCUGGACACAGAAUCAGAGAUGUACGUGGCUCAAGUGAGGAAUCUGACAUUGAAUGAAAGCAUUCUACUACAGACACUUGGUUUUGAAGUGUCUGUAGAUCAUCCGCACACACAUGUUGUGCGCCUCUUUCAUCUAGUUAGAGUCAGGGUCCUGUGGAGGCCAAGGAAGAAAAGGAGAGUCAUUGUGUGUGCGGCACGCGGCACGCACACAGAAAGACUACACAGGGCAGUGAUCGAGUGUAUGUGCAUAGGCCUUAUGCUUCGAAUUGCCAGAACAAACCCACAGCCAGCAAGGAUGUAGCAAAGGUGGCGUACAGCCCAUGUCUGACCACCACGUGUCUCCAGUACAAGCCAGCAGUAGUAGCCUGUUUCUGCAUGCACCUUGCAUGCAAGUGGUUCAGCUGGGAGAUGAGUUUGCUGCACAGCUUCAAAUGACUGUGUGUAACAUAUUUUUCUUAUGCUAUAAGCGUAAAUUAUCCCAUAACUUUGUUGACUUUGUGCAGGUUUCCAUCCAUGCUGCAGAUAAAUCAAAAGACGGACAGAGCAAAACAAUGGUGUCACAAGUGUCGAUUGCCAUGUCCCCCAUUGUGCUGUCACAGAAGAACGAGGAACUUCCUGAGGUGUUCGACGACAAUUUAUAAUGAAGUGACCAACUAUGUCGUUAAUUAAUUACGUCACAGAACAGAAGUUAAAUUAUAUAUCGGACGAUUCACUUGGAGACAAAGAAACUCUAUAUAUGAGUGAAUCUUUCACUG